AAGGUACUAGUAAAAUUAUUACGUAACUUUGUCAAAGUUAAUUUAUAGGUUAAGUCCCUAUGUAUCUUU
rnacentral:tRNA from 1 species